rnacentral:lncRNA from 1 species
CUAUUAUGCACACCUUCUCUGACCCCCUGUAUAAUGUAGGCCACAUUUGUUUAAAGAUUCAAUUUGCUUUCCUGAACAAACUUGUAUAUAUUAUAUAUAGUUUCAUACAGAGGAGUAGCUAGUGAAAAGGUUGAAACCCAUAAAUAUUAUAUUAUACCACCUGGUGCUCUGGAGCUGGCUCCUGAAUGACAGCCACUCACAAUGAAGAGCAGCCUGAAAGGCAGGGAGAUAAAGUGAUAUGACUAUUGCAGAGAGCAAACGAAUGGCUCCAUGUUAGGGAGAAGUUUCUGAAGGCAUGGUUUCAGUUUAAGUUUUAUGUUUUUCCUUUGGAAAACAAACGUUCUUUCACUCCACAUAACCUUUAUUUUAGAAACAUGGAAGCAAGAAAGGGGGAGAGAGGUUUCUAUAGGAGAGCAUGGUGUAUGUGAAUAACUCUGUAAUCACAAGCUAUCUUGAACUGACAAGGGGAGUGCCCCUACUGAAGCUCUCAAUUUACAGCACACAAAAGGUAGCCUCACAGUUACACAACUGUAUUUGCUGUAUUACAGUGUAAUGAUUCAUGGAAAUCGUAGGAAAAUGUAUUUGGUAUUUACUGACAUCCCAUCAAGUGAUUGAAGAUGGAUUGAAUGGCUCAAGAGAGAUGUUUCUGUCUCUUCACCUCUGUUUGCAACAAAGAUAAGAAGGAGAGGAUUUAAGAGUCUCAGGCUGAGCAGCCACCUCUGUGACACUGGCCCAGGCUUUGAUGGUCGUCCUCCCACUCAGCCUAUUGCUCGUGCUGGAGCCUGCAGAAGUGUUUUACAGCUGAGUGCAGACCCACAUAAUAAAAACUGAAGGUUCUGUCUGUAUGAUUAACAUUGGAUGUUAUAAAUAAUACAAAUGCUGCUCUGAUGUAAGAAUAAAUACGUUGGGUGUGAGUGAUGGGAGCUAGGGGGAGGAGCGGGGAGGAGGCAAGGAGAGGUUUUUGGUGGGCUCAGUCUUCUUAGCAGACCAGUUUUUGAGGAACUAUUUUUUUCACCCCACAGAUGUUCAUGUGCCAGAAGAUUGCCCCUGGUCUGCAAGCUGUACGUUACUGCAGUGCUCUGUGGGCUGCCUGGGACAGGAGAGCAGGAGAGCUUCUCCCAGCAAACAAUGGCACAGGUGCUCUGGUGGCCCAGGAGGAUUUCUGCUAACUGGGCAUGCAAAUAAGUUUUGCAGUGCUGUGACCUGCCAGCAGCCAAGCCAAUGGCAGGUGGACGGGUUAAAAGGCAUGAUCUGAGGCAAUUGGGCUUUCCCAGGCUUCAACAACUCUGCUGGAUGCUACUCUUCUGUUUAGAAAUGGGAUUCCAUACUGCAUCAACCCUGUGAUCCUACUGCUCAUGUGCUACUUGUGACUGGAGAUACAAAUAUGUCUUCAAUCCAGCAUUUUAUUUACAAGGAAAUUGGGCCAAAUUCCUCUCCUGUG